GAAGGGAAGGGAAGGGAAGGGAAGGGAAGGGAAGGGAAGGGAAGGGAAGGGAUAGACUGUAACUUGUCGAAUAAAGUGAUUGGGAGACCUGGAGAUCUGGUUUAUGAGCAAAUGAAUAGGUCAUUAAAGAAGAAUGAAUUAAAGAUCAGAGUGUAAAAUGCCAACAUGGUGCAGAGCAAAUGCUGGGAAUUGUAACCUUGUUAGUAUAGAAAACUAUGAAACAAGUUGCACAACUAGGUUCUCUUCUCCAAGGUUGUCAGAUGUAUAAAGAUUGUGUACAUGACUGCUGCAUCCACAAAAUAUAGCAUUCAAAUCACCUUGAAAGAUAUCUUUUUUGUUAAAACCAACAAGCAUUUUUUGUUCUAUAAUUGGGGCAAGUAAAAGGGAGCAAAGUGGGCUCUGUACUUUUAUUUGAGGGAUCUAUUCCCUUGGAAAGAUAGACCUUUAAGGCAGUAUGUAUUUCUGUGAUAAUUCACCAAGAACCAAGUUUUGCACCUGUAGGUAAGCAGACCACUGACAGAGGACAAGACUUUUACAGCAUAGUUAAAGGAAUGACAAAGAUAUCCUGUUGUUUAAAAGAAGAAGGAGUAGAAAAAGGAGAAGAAUAAUGAACAGGGAAGAAAAAGGGCAAUCCACUAUUUCUAAACAAUCAUGUUGUAAUAUUGAAUGUCUUACAUUUCUCCUGUGGGAGGACCAUGCUUUCACUUCUCAGGGCAUCUUCAGUUUCUCAGAGGACUACACCUUGUGGUCUUCUGAGUAACCACUCAUGAAAAUCUUUAUUUUUUUAUUCUAUUACUUAUGACAUUUGAUGGCAGAGAAACAAAGGAGUGGAGUGCUGUUGGUGGGGUGUUUUGAAGCUAAGCUAUUGUUUGAGUCAGUGCAAUGGUUAGAUUGCCUUUCCAGAUUAAAACAGUCCUGGAAAAGCAGAAAAUGAGGUUAACUGUCUAAUUUCAACUGAACACAUUUGUGUAUUUCAUACCAACUAAAAUGUUCUGACUAAAAAAAAAAUAGACAAGUGGCUUUAACUUAAUUUAGUAAAUGCAUAUGGCAUUUUCACAUUUAAAGAAAAGACUAAUUAAUAACAACUGUCAUUUAAAACCCAGCUACUUUACAAAAGUACAUUUCUCCAUAGAUUUCUACUUUGGUUUUUACUAUGACUAGAUGAGGACACAACAUCAGUCGUUCCUCAUAUGGCUUGUGUUCCAAGCCCCUCACCAGCCUCGUUGCUCUCCUUUGGACACGCUCAAGCAUCUCAGCGUCCCUCCUAAACUGAGGGGCCCAGAACUGGACACAGUACUCAAGGUGUGGCCUCACCAGUGCCGAGUACAGGGGAAGAAUGACCUCCCUGCUCCUGCUGGACACACUAUUCCUGAUACUGGCCAGGAUGCCAUUGGCCUUCUGGGUUUGUUUAGCCUGGAGAAGAGAAGACUCAGAGGUGACCUUAUCACUCUCUACAACUUCCUGAAGGGUGGCUGUAGUGAGCUGGGGGUCAGUCUCUUUCUCCGAGCAACAACAGAUAGAACAAGAGGACACAGUCUCAAGCUGCGCCAAGGGAGAUACAGGUUAGACCUAAGGAGGAAGUUUUUCACAGAAAGAGUGGUCAAACACUGGAAUCAUCUGCCCAGGGAGGUGGUAGAGUCACCAUCCCUGGAUGUGUUUAAAAGGAGACUAGAUGUGGCACUUAGUGCCAUGACCUAGUUGAGGUAUAAGAUAGGAUGGGUUGGACUCAAUGAUCUUGAAGGUCUCUUCCAACCUAGAAAUUCUGUGAUUCUGUGAUUCUGUAAAUACUUCAUUUCUCGUUAGACUAAGCUUCAUUUGAGCUCUUCCAGUCUAUUAUUCAAAUUGUAUCAUAUUAAAAUUUAUUGAUACGUAUUUAAUUGGAAGAUGACAGCAUCUCUUAUUAGCUACUUAAACCGAGACCAACAGCUGAAAAAUAUCAGCAUGAAAGCUGUACAAACAAAAAUCUUGCAAACCAAAGAAUCAUGCUUAUUUGCUGAGAUCUUACACUGAACAAAAUCACUUCAACCCACAAAUAACAAUCGUGUUAGUGAGUAAUUAAAACAAGGGACAAAGUCAGGACUACAAUAUUCUAUUCCUAAUUCAGCUACUGACUCACAGUGUGAUUUUGCUCAUUUACCACCUAUAAAAUGGAAGAUGUGAUAAUGAUAAUGACAGGGAUAAUAAUGCCUACAUAAAAGAAGUGCUAGGAGUCUUAAUGUUUGAAAAGAGCUUUGAGAUAGGGCUGCUAUAUAAACACAGAUUAUAAUUAACAAGGGACUGCAAGCUUGCACAAUUGGUACUUUCUUUGGGCUUUCAGAGGCAAAGAUAGGCGAACUCUGUAUAUUUGAGAUAUCAUGAGUCCUCUGUUUUAAGAGCUUAUUUGGGAAAUUAUGUUUCACAGCUGCCAUUACACUGUGUUGGAGCCAAGCUUUUAAGAAGUCCUAACUAUUUGCCAGUCAUUAACACAAGAAACUUUAAAGGCAGUUCAGAAUAAUCUUAUCACUGUGACUACUGGCUCCAGCUUGUCUUAUUGUAUUCUCUUCUUCGUAGAUAUGUGUAACAACGCAUUUACAUGAAAGACAGGAGAACAUGAACACAUGAACCUGGAGAGGAAGUUCAGUGCCUUAGUGAAUGCUGAGUGCCUGAGGCAUAGAGACCUUCCAAAACCACAAAGAGGAGCUGCAAUGAAGGUUUAGAGACUGUGGUUAGGCUGUGUCCAAUGCUUGUUUCAUGCUGUAUUGAUCCUGGCACUGCUCUUCUCAGCUUAGAAAAUGCAGAUAGAAUCAGCCCCUGGGGAACAUCUCCAGAAAAGGAGAUGCUGUGGCAGCACAGAGCAAAGAGGUUUCCCCGGAGCACCGUGCAUGGUCGUAAAAGGAGGGAGGAACCAGCAGUUCUUAACCCACAUCUUCCAGCAGCUGCAUACACGUACCUUGCUCUGCAGGAUACAGUCACAGGCAUGUAUCACCCCCAUUAGGAUCCAGACUGCAUCUCUCUGAUUGUCAUGGAGACUGUUUCAAAGUCUUGCCGUGCUCCAGCAGCAGCAGCAGCAGCAGCAGCAGCAGAGGACAAUAGCACUUGGUCUUAAAUGGCUGAAAAGAAAGCAACAAAGCACAGUGUAAAAGGGAAGGACCUGUGGCUGAAAGGGAUAUGAGUACAGCCAGACACUCUUCCCACUGCUGCAGUGGGCUAGAGGUGCAGGUUAGAGUAGAGUAACCUUGCAGAGGUGUAUAACUGUGCCUUCAAGAUAAGCAGAGGAAGAGCAUUCUCAAGGAUAGUGCAUUUCUCCUCCUUCUUUCUCCCCCUCAAGCUAAAUUGCUGGGGUGUUUUAGAUUAAAUGUGUUAAUUAGGAAACUAUUUAGUUUAUGAGGUCUUCUGCUUUUCCAUUCCCGUGGGCACUGUAAACAUACUGAGUUUUGGAGUAAGUGAUAUACAGUGUCUCGGAACGAGAGACAGGCAGAGGCACAGGCAAGUGCAAGGAAUUAAUAGAUUUGGUAGUUUGCAAGACCUGAGGCAAAGAAGUGAUUUUCAGAAAAGUGAGGUGACAGUUUUGUGUCAAAUAGCAAAUUUGCUAAAAAUGGCAAUUUAUGACCAAGCUAUUUUCAAGUCAGGUCAGUUCUCAGAAGAGUCAGGAGUAAAAGGUACAACUGAGCAACAUAAAAUGCAAGCAAACAUAAAAUGCAAAAUUCAAAUGCAAAACCAACUGGGUUUAAUCCCAUCUCAGAAAAAAAAAUCAUAAGAUCAAACUAUCGCUGUAAGUGUACUUAAUAAAAUAGAAGUAUAAACCUCAGAAAAAUUGGUUGGUGUUAAGAUGUUCAUAUUACCAAA